AGUGAACGCUGGCGGUAGGCCUAACACAUGCAAGUCGAACGGCAGCACAGGAGAGCUUGCUCUCUGGGUGGCGAGUGGCGGACGGGUGAGGAAUACAUCGGAAUCUACCUUUUCGUGGGGGAUAACGUAGGGAAACUUACGCUAAUACCGCAUACGACCUACGGGUGAAAGUGGGGGACCGCAAGGCCUCACGCGAUUAGAUGAGCCGAUGUCCGAUUAGCUAGUUGGCGGGGUAAUGGCCCACCAAGGCGACGAUCGGUAGCUGGUCUGAGAGGAUGAUCAGCCACACUGGAACUGAGACACGGUCCAGACGCCGACGGGAGGCAGCAGUGGGGAAUAUUGGACAAUGGGCGCAAGCCUGAUCCAGCCAGACCGCGUGGGUGAAGAAGGCCUUCGGGUUGUAAAGCCCUUUUGUUGGGAAAGAAAUCCUGUCGAUUAAUACUCGGUGGGGAGGACGGUACCCAAAGAAUAAGCACCGGCUAACUGCGU
rnacentral:rRNA from 1 species